UACAGAGGGUGCAAGCGUUGUUCGGAAUUAUUGGGCGUAAAGGGAGUGUAGGCGGCUCUUUAAGUCUUCUGUGAAAUCUACGGGCUUAACCUGUAACGUGCAGAGGAUACUGAGGAGCUUGAGUGUCGGAGAGGAUAGUGGAAUUCCCGGUGUAGAGGUGAAAUUCGUAGAGAUCGGGAGGAACACCAGUGGCGAAGCCGACUGUCUGGCUGACAACUGACGCUGAGACUCGAAAGCAUGGGGAGCAAACAGG
rnacentral:rRNA from 1 species